rnacentral:rRNA from 1 species
GGGUUGUGAGGUUAAGCGACUAAGCGUACACGGUGGAUGCCCUGGCAGUCAGAGGCGAUGAAGGGCGUGCUAAUCUGCGAUAAGCGCCGGUAAGGUGAUAUGAACCGUUAUAACCGGCGAUACCCGAAUGGGGAAACCCAGUGUGAUUCGUCACACUAUCAUUAACUGAAUCCAUAGGUUAAUGAGGCGAACCGGGGGAACUGAAACAUCUAAGUACCCCGAGGAAAAGAAAUCAACCGAGAUUCCCCCAGUAGCGGCGAGCGAACGGGGAGGAGCCCAGAGCCUGAAUCAGCAUGUGUGUUAGUGGAAGCGUCUGGAAAGGCGCGCGAUACAGGGUGACAGCCCCGUACACAAAAGCGCAUGUGUUGUGAGCUCGAUGAGUAGGGCGGGACACGUGGUAUCCUGUCUGAAUAUGGGGGGACCAUCCUCCAAGGCUAAAUACUCCUGACUGACCGAUAGUGAACCAGUACCGUGAGGGAAAGGCGAAAAGAACCCCGGCGAGGGGAGUGAAAAAGAACCUGAAACCGUGUACGUACAAGCAGUGGGAGCACCCUUUGGGGUGUGACUGCGUACCUUUUGUAUAAUGGGUCAGCGACUUAUAUUCUGUAGCAAGGUUAACCGAAUAGGGGAGCCGGAGGGAAACCGAGUCUUAAUUGGGCGUUAAGUUGCAGGGUAUAGACCCGAAACCCGGUGAUCUAGCCAUGGGCAGGUUGAAGGUUGGGUAACACUAACUGGAGGACCGAACCGACUAAUGUUGAAAAAUUAGCGGAUGACCUGUGGCUGGGGGUGAAAGGCCAAUCAAACCGGGAGAUAGCUGGUUCUCCCCGAAAGCUAUUUAGGUAGCGCCUCGUGAAUUCAUCUCCGGGGGUAGAGCACUGUUUCGGCUAGGGGGCCAUCCCGGCUUACCAACCCGAUGCAAACUGCGAAUACCGGAGAAUGUUAUCACGGGAGACACACGGCGGGUGCUAACGUCCGUCGUGAAGAGGGAAACAACCCAGACCGCCAGCUAAGGUCCCAAAGUCAUAGUUAAGUGGGAAACGAUGUGGGAAGGCCCAGACAGCCAGGAUGUUGGCUUAGAAGCAGCCAUCAUUUAAAGAAAGCGUAAUAGCUCACUGGUCGAGUCGGCCUGCGCGGAAGAUGUAACGGGGCUAAACUAUGCACCGAAGCUGCGGCAGCGACACUAUGUGUUGUUGGGUAGGGGAGCGUUCUGUAAGCCUGUGAAGGUGUGUCGUGAGGCAUGCUGGAGGUAUCAGAAGUGCGAAUGCUGACAUAAGUAACGAUAAAGCGGGUGAAAAGCCCGCUCGCCGGAAGACCAAGGGUUCCUGUCCAACGUUAAUCGGGGCAGGGUGAGUCGACCCCUAAGGCGAGGCCGAAAGGCGUAGUCGAUGGGAAACGGGUUAAUAUUCCCGUACUUGGUGUUACUGCGAAGGGGGGACGGAGAAGGCUAUGUUGGCCGGGCGACGGUUGUCCCGGUU